rnacentral:rRNA from 1 species
UACGUAGGUGGCAAGCGUUGUCCGGAUUUACUGGGCGUAAAGAGCGCGCAGGCGGUCGGAUAAGUCGAAUGUGAAAGCCCCCGGCUCAACUGGGGAGGGUCAUUCGAUACUGUUCGACUCGAAGGCAGGAGAGGGAAGUGGAAUUCCCGGUGUAGUGGUGAAAUGCGUAGAUAUCAGGAGGAACACCGGUGGCGAAGGCGGACCUCUGGGCCUGUCCUGACGCUGAGGCGCGAAAGCUAGGGGAGCGAACAGG